UCACAACCUACAUGAAUGGGGUA
rnacentral:miRNA from 1 species